CACGUAGGGGGCAAGCGUUGUCCGGAUUUAUUGGGCGUAAAGAGCUCGUAGGCGGCUCAGUAAGUCGGGUGUGAAACCUCCAGGCUCAACCUGGAGACGCCACCCGAUACUGCUGUGGCUUGAGUCCGGUAGAGGAGCGUAGAAUUCCUGGUGUAGCGGUGAAAUGCGCAGAUAUCAGGAGGAAUACCAGCGGCGAAGGCGGCGCUCUGGGCCGGAACUGACGCUGAGGAGCGAAAGCGUGGGUAGCAAACAGG
rnacentral:rRNA from 1 species